AUUGAACGCUGGCGGCAGGCCUAACACAUGCAAGUCGAACGAGUGGCGGACGGGUGAGUAAUGUCUGGGAAUCUGACUGAUGGAGGGGGAUAACUACUGGAAACGGUAGCUACUACCGCCUACCUUCAGCUGUGCCCAGAUGGGAUUAGCUAGUUGGUGGGGUAACGGCUCACCAAGGUGACGAUCCCUAGCUGGUCUGAGAGGAUGACCAGCCACACUGGAACUGAGACACGGGCCAGACUCCUACGGGAGGCAGCAGUGGGGAAUAUUGGACAAUGGGCGCAAGCCUGAUGCAGCCAUGCCGCGUGUAUGAAGAAGGCCUUCGGGUUGUAAAGUACUUUCAGCGGGGAGGCGUUACCCGCAGAAGAAGCACCGGCUAACUCCGUGCCAGCAGCCGCGGUAAUUC
rnacentral:rRNA from 1 species